GUCUCGUUCGGCGUUAGGGGUUUGUGGAUUCGAGCUCGAGGAUUAACCCUAGAAGUCUUGCGGCCUCCGAUGGGUUCGGAGUUCGACAUCGAGCGCAUCCUUUGGACGGAGCAGGAGAUCGCGGGCCGCGUCGCCGAGCUAGCCGCCGAGAUCUCCGGCGACCUCAUCGGGGCGGCGGGGCCGCCCGUUGUCUUCGUCGGCGUUGCCACCGGUGCGUUCCUCUUUCUUGCGGACCUCGUCAGGCGGAUCACCCUGCCGUUGGCCGUCGAUUUCGUCCGGGUGGAGUCGUAUGGGUCCGGUACGGAGUCCAACGGCGCCCCGAAGAUCUCCAGCGACCUCAAGAUCGAUAUUAGAGGAAAGCAUGUCGUGUUGGUCGAGGAUAUUGUAGACACAGGAAAUACUGUUUCCUGUCUCAUUCCACAUUUGAGAACCAAAGGCGCUAUCUCUGUGUCGGUUUGUACUUUUCUUGAUAAACCUGCAAGAAGGAAAGUUCAUUUCGAGCUUGUUGGAGGGGGAAAAUUCUAUAGGGGGUUUGAGUGCCCAGAUAGCUUUGUCGUGGGUUAUGGCAUGGAUUAUGAUGAGCUUUACAGGAACUUGCCUUAUGUUGGUGUGCUCAAGCCUGAAAUGUACAACAAAUAAAGCAGCUUGACCACAUCCCUAACUUUUAUGCUAAUACCAGUACAGCUGAAAAUUUAAAGAUUGCAGAGAUAUAUCUGGAAAAUUUGUCUUUUCUUCAACGCUAGUACAAUUUUGUGUUAAAAUGUAUUUCCUUACUGGCUUAAUAACUCACUGUAUGGACCAGUUGCAGUUGGAAGUUUUAUCAAGAAUGGAGUAUCAAUCAAAAGGUCUGCUGUUGAAAUUCAGCUGAAGAUUUUCAGGAAGAUUGGUUUAGAUGGCUGUCUUAUCGGACACAAUAUUUUGGUGUCUGGGUUGAUUUGGUUUCUGGGUUGAUUAGGGCUCCUCACACUUGGUCUAUUUAGCACGAAUGCUUUACUCUUGUGCUUGCCUCAGUGAUGCUUCUUAUUUCACCCUUGAUUAUGGUUGUGUUGUUAUCUGAUCAAAUUCUAGAUGGUUUUUACAGACCUCUUAGUCAUUUCAUAAGUCAUAAAUGCUG